GAGUUUGAUCCUGGCUCAGGAUGAACGCUGGCGGCGUGCUUAACACAUGCAAGUCGAGCGAUGAAGUUUCCUUCGGGAAAUGGAUUAGCGGCGGACGGGUGAGUAACACGUGGGUAACCUGCCUCAUAGAGUGGAAUAGCCUUCCGAAAGGGAGAUUAAUACCGCAUAACGUUGAAAGAUGGCAUCAUCAUUCAACCAAAGGAGCAAUCCGCUAUGAGAUGGACCCGCGGCGCAUUAGCUAGUUGGUGGGGUAACGGCCUACCAAGGCGACGAUGCGUAGCCGACCUGAGAGGGUGAUCGGCCACAUUGGGACUGAGACACGGCCCAGACUCCUACGGGAGGCAGCAGUGGGGAAUAUUGCACAAUGGGGGAAACCCUGAUGCAGCAACGCCGCGUGAGUGAUGAAGGUUUUCGGAUCGUAAAGCUCUGUCUUUGGGGAAGAUAAUGACGGUACCCAAGGAGGAAGCCACGGCUAACUACGUGCCAGCAGCCGCGGUAAUACGUAGGUGGCGAGCGUUAUCCGGAUUUACUGGGCGUAAAGGGAGCGUAGGCGGAUGAUUAAGUGGGAUGUGAAAUACCCGGGCUCAACUUGGGUGCUGCAUUCCAAACCGGUUAUCUAGAGUGCAGGAGAGGAGAGUGGAAUUCCUAGUGUAGCGGUGAAAUGCGUAGA
rnacentral:rRNA from 1 species